ACUUAAGAUGUGUACCUGCCGUAAAUAUGGACAAACAGUGAGCAGUAGGCUUUAGGUGGGCAUAAAUCAAGUAUUUAGAUGCCCAUAAAGGACCUACUCACAUGA